UUCUUGUUGAUCCUGCCAGUAGUUAUAUGCUUGUACACACGAAUUAAAAGUGAAACCGCAAAAGGCUCAUUAUAUCAGUUAUGGUUCCUUAGAUCGUUAACAGUUACUUGGAUAACUGUGGUAAUUUAGAGCUAAUACAAUACAUGCAAUUAAAACACGGACCUUAUGGGACGUGUGCUUUUAUUAGGCUAAAACCAAGCGUUCGCAAGAGCAUUACAUUGGUAGAACUCUAGAUAGCAUGCAGAUCGUAUGGUCUUGUACCGACGACAGAUCUUUCAAAUGUCUGCCCUAUCAACAUUUGAUGGUAGUAUCUAGGACUACCAUGGUUGCAACGGGUAACGGGGAAUCAGGGUUCGAUUCCGGAGAGGAAGCCUGAGAAACGGCUACCACAUCUAAGGAAGGCAGCAGGCGUGUAUGUAAGCAUAUUACCGGUGGAGUUCUUAUAUAUAAUUAAGUACUUGUAUUUUUUUAUAUAUUCCUCCUAUUUAAGAACCUGCAUUAGUGGUCUUCAUCGAGUGUUAUUGUGGGCCGUGUUACCAGGUCCGAACAUAAGUGUGUAAGACAGAUUGAUAGCUCUUUCUCGAACCUAUGGGUGGUGGUGAAUGGCCGUUCUUAGUUCGUGGAGUGAUUUGUCUGGUUAAUUCCGAUAACGAACGAGACUCAAAUAUAUUAAAUAGAAAUCUUCAGGAUUAUGGAUUAUAUAGCCUUCAUUCAUGGUGGCAGUAAAAUGUUUAUUGUGUUUGAAUGUGUUUAUAUAAGUGGAGCCGUACCUGUCGGUUUGUCCCAUUAUAAGAACACUAGCUUCUUAAAUGGACAAAUUGCGUCUAGCAAUAAUGAGAUUGAGCAAUAACAGGUCUGUGAUGCCCUUAGAUGUCCUGGGCUGCACGCGCGCUACAAUGAAAGUAUCAACGUGUAUUUCCUAGACCGAGAGGUCCGGGUAAACCGCUGAACCACUUUCAUGCUUGGGAUUGUGAACUGAAACUGUUCACAUGAACUUGGAAUUUCCAGUAAGUGUGAGUCAUUAACUCGCAUUGAUUACGUCCCUGCCCUUUGUACACACCGCCCGUCGCUACUACCGAUUGAAUUAUUUAGUGAGGUCUCCGGACGUGAUCACUGUGACGCCUUGCGUGUUAUGGUUGUUUCGCAAAAGUUGACCGAACUUGAUUAUUUAGAGGAAGUAAAAGUCGUAACAAGGUUUCCGUAGGUGAACCUGCGGAAG
rnacentral:rRNA from 1 species